GACUACAUGAAGCUGGAAUCGCUAGUAAUCGCAGAUCAGAAUGCUGCGGUGAAUACGUUCCCGGGUCUUGUACACACCGCCCGUCACACCAUGGGAGUUGGAAAUGCCCGAAGCCAGUGACCCAACCGUAAGGAGGGAGCUGUCGAAGGUGGAGCCGAUGACUGGGGUGAAGUCGUAACAAGGUACC
rnacentral:rRNA from 1 species